GCUAAUCCUCCGCCUGUGGCACCGGCACCCUGGGGUUCUAGUCCUGGUUGGGGCGCUGAUUCUGUCCUGGUUGCUCCUCUUCCAGUUCAGCUCUCUGCUGUGGCCCGGGAGGGCAGUGGAGGAUGGCCCAGGUCCUUGGGCCCUGCACCCCAUGGGAAACCAGGAGAAGCACCUGGCUCCUGCCUUUGGAUCAGCGUGGUGAGCCGGGUGCAGCGCACCAGCCACGGCGACCAUUGGAGGGUGAACCAACGGCAAAGGAAGACCUUUCUCUCUGUCUCUCUCUCUCUCUCACUGUCCACUCUGCCUGUCCAAAAAAAAAAAAAAAAAUAUUCUGCUGAGGUCUGUAUUGGGCAUCUUGUGCAUGGGAAGGUUGUAGUCGCUCUUGAGGGACGCGGCUUUACGCCAAGUGCCGUGCAAGUCGUCCAGCUUCCGGAAGGCACUCUCCGUCCAGAUGCAGAAGCGCCCCACGUGCCCACCGGGCGCGAGCUUCAGGAUGUUCAGCUUGGUCACGUUGAGCAGAGUGAUCCCAGGGAUGUUCCGGAAGGCCUUGACGAUGCCGUUGUCCUCGUUGUAGAUGACGCAGGGCCCCCUGCGCUGGGUCCUCCGGCGGUUUCUCAUUUUGCCCUUGCCAGCCCUCAUCCGCUGAGAGGCGUACACCUUCUUGAUGUCAUUCCAGGCCUUGAGUUUCUUAAGCAGCAGAACUGUUUUGGUUGGUGCGAACAUGCGGCCUCCUCGGCACAUAUUCCUAAAGGCACCCUGGCCGGAUCGGUGCGUCCCACCACCUCGCACUCUGGGAAUUCCCGCCACAGCUCUGCCAGUACCCCACGACUCAGCGCUGGUCUGGUGACCUGCCAGCUCACUGACGGCAUAGGGCUGCCUAUUGUUCUUGCGCACGUUGGUGUGCACGAAGUUCACGAUGUCUGGCUGGAUGGGAGCCUUGAACAUGGCGGGCAAAGUCACAUUUUUGCCGGACGACUCCCCCUUCUCGGAGUACACCGAUAG
rnacentral:lncRNA from 1 species